AGCCAUCCUCGCGUCAACUAAAAUUAUAAUAAAAGGCAUUUGAUUUGUCAUGGUCAAAAAUCUGACAUUCGGAUUUUAUCAUUUCCGUUGAUUAAUGAUGCGCGCGGUUUACUGAAAAAACGCUCCUCCAAUUGCAAUCGCCACGUCGGCAGUGGCGCUUAGGCUUAACGAUCUUGGGCAGGAUUGGGAGACGUCAACCUAGUUCUUCAAUUAACUGGUCCUGACCACGAGCAUGUCAAGAGACCUUCAGAACGAACAUGAAUGAAACGACACGAACAUGAAUGAAACGACACGAACAGGCGAUUCACCUACGAAUUUAACUGAUUAUACAGAGAUACAGAAGUAAUAGAAUCUCUUUUCUUUUCCUCGCUAAAGAUUUAUACAAAGAUGAAGCGACACGAACAUGAACUCUCCUAUCCGCCGUCCGUCGACCGACCGGUCGAUCAGUGCACGAGGUAGGUGACGGCAAGCGCGGCGGCCAUGAGCAGGUACGCCACGGCCUGGUCGACCCUCCUGCCGUCGCCGGCCACGGCCGCCAACCCCUCCGCCUUCCUCGCCCCGCCCUGCGCCGCGCCGGCAGCGGGCACGUCGACGUUCGCCGCGCGAGCCAUCGCGUGAUGACCGAUGAACGACCCGCUCACAAGAAUCGGCUCGACCGACGGUAUGCCGGGUCCUUCCCUGGUGAGCCGACGAAGAAGAAAGAAGAUCUGGAUCCGGGCUGUGGGUGUUGGUCGUGGCCAGUUUGUGCUUGGUGGAGAGGCGGUGGAUCUGGCGUGUUUAUAUAGCGGGAUAGGAUUUGGGAGGGUAUUACGGGCCGGAUUCCCGGUCAAACGUGCCUGCCUGCCGGCCUUUUGCUUGGGCGCGUAAAAGUCGUUUGCUCGGAAGCUUCUGCGGUGUUUCCACGUGGCUGAGACGAGGAUGCCGCGUCCAAAUCGAAUCAGCUCGGCUUUGGCUUUUGGCCAAGCGUCACCGAUGAGAACUUCUAGUAGACUAGACUAGUCAUCGUCGAGAUAAGUUUUUUUGAACCAAUCAUCAAGAUAAUUAAAACUGUUAAAAUAUGUACGAAAGAAAAAAUAGAAGGUAGUCGUACUAGAAGAGGUGGACUGGUCUGGUCGCCUUGUGGUGCAAAUGAUGCACUAGCCGUAGUUCACGUAUUUAGACUUCGCGAAAAAACUAAAGUAAGAGUAGGGAAAAGGUGUGGCUAAACGUAGUACGCCACCUUAUCUAUUGACCUCGUUUUUGUUUCUCCCAAACGAGAAAAAUGCAUGGAAUUCAAACUUCUCGGGUCAACGAUAGGGUCACGAUGUAUAUAAAUCCGACUGGGGUUGUUCAUUUUUCCAAUACGGAAUACAUAUAAAGCAAAAUGAAUGAACCUCCACUCUAAAAUAUGUCUAUAUACAUCCAAAAAAAUUUAUAUUUAAAAACGGAAGGAGUAGUAUUUAUUUCUUCUCUAUAUUUCUUUAUUUGAUUCCUUUUUUUCAUCAUUAUUCGAGUACAAAGAAAUGUAAACAAUUUUCAUCAUUAUAGAUGGAAGGUUACGUUAAACUUCACGUAAGUCUAGAAUUAUCGGGUGAACGCCCAGAUGUGUGUCUCCACAAGGCCAUUUGUCAGAGUUCCAAACCUUAUUAUUUUUCCUCCAAUUUUAAACUAGUUUCUUAUGGGUUCUGUUUGGUUCUUCCGGCUUUUGCAUGGAUUUACUUUUCUUUUUCUCUCACCCUUUCUCUUUCCUUUUUUUCAUUUAAAUUUUCAUUCUAUAUUUGUACACAUGAAUAUUUUUUGAAAUACUCUAGCAUUUUUAACACACUAUGAACAUUUAUCAAAUACAUGGCAAAUGAAUAUUUCCCAAUACAUUUUUUUAUUUUUCUAAAUUGUUUUUAUCAUUGUAGGAAAAUAUCAUCAAAUCAAACUUCUAAAUAAUAACAAUAAAAAACCUCUAAGCUUAUUGGGUGCGCUUUUUUUUGAAUAAAAAGGUAGAUCAUUUUUUACCUUAUGCAUUCAAAACGGGCGGAAAACCCGGAUGACCAAAGUCAUUUACAUGAAGGUGAUGUUAACGCCGUACAAAGGAGUACAGCAGGCCAUCACCAGACCUAGUGUGAUACAGAGUUGGAGAUAGAUAAAAGUAAGACAACAUGCAAAUUAAGUUGGAGUGAAAGCGGCUGCCCAAUCCAACAUGCACUGCCUAAUAUGCUGCGGGGCACGCAGGCUCCAAAACUUGAACAGCUCAAUGACUCUAGUGUAUACUUGGCGCUCCUGCCAAAAGGAUCCUUCGAAGACUCGAGCGUUCCUGGCGUUCCAAAGGGUGACCGCACACGCCGCGAAAAGAAUAUGCCACAUUUUGCCAUGCAGCGCCUUCGGCUGAUCUGAACAUAAAUAAAGUUCAGGUUCUGUGGAAGAUGUGGCCAACUCCUGCAAGCCUAAAUUGGACCAUAACGCUUGUGCAAGUUUGCAUCUCAGCAAAAUAUGGCUCAUUGUCUCCGCCGCUAGACAAAGAUCACAGCCAUUGUGCGAAGCAAUUUUAUCCCAAUUCUUCCUCACCAUGUUAUCUCUGGUGUUGUGUCUGUCCCGGAGUGCAAUCCACAGAAAGAUGCGAUAUUUGUGUGGUAUGAUUCUAUCCCAAAUGAGCUUGGCUGGCAUAUAGAGUUUGCCUCGAAAAGUGAAAAGCUUGUAGAAAUAAGGAGUGCUCAAGCUCUUGCCAACGAGCAGCGGCAUUCUGGUGUCAACUGUAUUAACCUGGGGCAGCACAUAGCUCAAGAUUUCAGCAAGGGCUGCCAGUUCUUGUGUGGCCGUGUAGGAGAGAUUUGGAUGAAGCUGGAUGUUCCAUUGACCGUCUCUGAACUGUGAAGCAACUGUGCAAAACUGGGCCACAUCGAAAGUAAAAAGCGUCGGGAAAACAAUCAUGAGCUGACCACAGUCCAGCCAGAGAUCAUACCAGAAGGCAAUGCUUUGGCCGCCCCCAGUUUGCAUUUGGAAGCUUCCAUAACCAUCUGCAUUGUGGAUCUAAAACCUUUCCAAACAGCAGUAUCUCGAUUGUGAGGGGUCCAGGAUAGUUCCUUCUGACAAUAUGCCUGCGCGAACCAACUGUAACACGACACAUCCUCGUGUUGCAGAACUUUUGCCAUAAACUUGCAUAUCAAGGCCUUGUUGUGUGCUGCAAGGUUGCGCACCCCCAGUCCUCCAUUCUCUUUUGGGAGUGUGACCACAUCCCAAGCGACAAGGCACUGUCCCCCCUUGGCCUUAUCCUUCCCUUGCCAAAGAAACCCCCUCAAAAUUUGAUCAACUUUCUCCAAGGACUGACUCGGCCACAAGAAGCAGCCCAUGUAAUAACUAGGGAUUGCCGCCAAAACUGCAUUAAUCAAGGUUAGACGCCCCCCCAGGACAGAAAAGUUGCAAGCCAACCAGACAAGCGCUUGUCCACCUUCUGAAUCACAGGCAUUAACAGUCCGUGCGGUAUCUUGUUAAGAGAGAGUGGUAACCCCAGGUAGGUGCAAGGGAAGGCUGCAGUCUGACAAUUCAGAAUCUCAGCAAUACCUUGACAGGUGUGCUGGUCCAAUCCAACUGGAACAAAAGUACUCUUGUGAUAAUUGAUCUUUAGACCAGUAAAAUUGCUGAAGUCUUCCACAAUCCGCUUGAUAAUGCCUGCUUGUUGGACAUCUCCUCUCAAGAGAAUGAGCGUGUCAUCCGCGUAUUGCAGAAUUGGAAAAGGCCCGUCGGCUCCCAACGGAUGCACUAGGUUCUCCUCCUGAUACUCCUUCUGGCAGAGCUGUUGUAGGAUAUCUGCGACCAAAAUGAAAAGGUAUGGAGACAGGGCAUCCCCUUGCCGUAGGCCACACUUUGAUAGGAUCCUUUCGCCGGGAGUGCCGUUGAUAAGAAUUCUGGAGGAACUAGAAGCUAGGAUAUCAUCCACCCAUCGGAUCCAUCUGUCCCCAAAGCCCCUUGUUGCAAGGAUUUGUUUUAGAGCCUCCCAGCUAACACUGUCAAACGCUUUUUGAAAAUCAAGCUUCAGCACAACCAUUGGCGCUUUCCUCUUCCUGGCUUGCUGUACUAACUCGGCUGCCAGUGCAAAAUUUUCAAUAAUGCAAUGUCCUCGGAGAAAGCCAGAUUGGAGGGGGUGGAUGAGAGUCUGGAUCAGUCUCUGUAACCGCACUGCCAGCACUUUGGUGACAAGCUUCGGGACACUAUGAACUAAAGAGAUUGGCCUGAAGUCCUUUAUAUCUGUUGGAUCUUCUUUUUUUUGGAAGAAGCACAAUGUUGGCGGUGUUGAUGCCGAGUAGGUCACUGCUAAGCUCAUAAACUCUUGGAAAAACCCCAGCAAGUCCUCCUUCAACAGCCCAAGAAAACUUUUGUAAAAUUCACUUGUGAACCCAUCUGGCCCUGGGCUCCUGUUGCUUGGCGUGUUCUGAAUUGCUGCUGCAAUUUCGCCCCAAGAGAAAGGUGCCUCCAGUGCAGACAGGUCGACUGGAUCAUAAAGGUGGGAGGGGUCCAGAACUGGCAUUGAGGCCGAGCUUUCUCCAAAAAUGUGUGUGAAAAAAUCAGUUGCAAUUCGCAGCUUGUCUUGAUCCCUGAAGAAAUAUGUGCCAUCUUUAACCAGGAGCUUGAUUUUGUUUCUGCGGUGUUGGCAGUUAGCCAUUGCAUGGAAGAACCUGGUAUUCUCAUCUCUCAAGGUACAACCUCUUAUUUGUGCUCUUCUCUUCCAGAAACUAGUCUGCCAUAGUAUCAACUGUUGCGCCUUCAGGUUGGCGUGAUUUCUGAGGGCAACCUCUAUCCUCGAAAGGCGCCUUCUUUCCUCAACUGUGUCCAUGUACUGGACAACAUGCUUGCAAUUGGCAAGGGUGUUCUGCAUCGGUGGUUUGGUGCGUUCCCAUGCUCGAAUUGCAGCCCUCAAUCUUCUAAGCUUGAAGUUGAUCAAGGUUGAUAGAGAGGCGAAGGUUCUGGUUCCUUUCCUCCAGCUCUGACUGAUAAUAUCCCUGAGCUCUGGUAUGUGCAGCCAGUGAUUUUCAAACCUAAAGAAAGGGCUUUUGGUAGCCUCCCUUGAGAACUCCACACCUAUAAGCACAUGAUCCGAUGUUGUAGCAGGUAGAGCAGCAACUGUUGUGUUGACAAAGCCCAGAUUCCAUUCCGCAUUCACCAAAACUCGAUCUAGCUUGAUUAGAGUGGGUUCCUCUCGCUUAUUGGACCAAGUGAAGCUUCUGUUAGUGAUAUCAAUGUCAUCAAGAGCAUGCUCUCUAAUCUAUGAGUUGAACCUGUCCAUUAGUGCCCAAUUCUUCCUUCCUUGUGACUUUUCAUGCGCAAACCUAUACAUGUUGAAAUCACCCAAGAUGAUCCAGGACCCAGUAACCUGCUCGGCUGUUUGAGUCAUAACUGCAAAGAAAUCGUCCCUCUCCUCUUCAUCACAUGGGGCAUAGACUGUGGAGAGAACAAAACCGUCAUUAUUGCUUCUGGACUGGAAACUGACUGUUAUGCCGAACCGGUGUUUUGCCAUUUCUAAACCGUGCAACACGCUGUCAUCCCAGGCCACAAGCAAUCCGCCUGCAGUGCCACAAGCUGGCAUGUAGAUGAAAGAUUUGUGGUUUACAGGGAGGAAGGAUGCUGCCUUCAUCUUGUCCACCACCUGCAAUUUAGUCUCCUGCAGGCAUAUAACGUUCGAUCGGCUAGAAAAGAGUGCAUCUUUGACUAAUGAGCAUUUGUCGGAGUCACCAAGUCCCCUAACGUUCCAAUUAGCAAUCCGCAUAUAUGAAAGAACAGUCAGCUACAGAAGAAACAACCGGCACAGCUGGCUUGCGGAGGCGGUUCCAAGAGGAAAGUCUACUGACUUGAUAGAUAAACUGCUCAAAAGAGCUUACAAAGCUUAAAAAGCAACAACUAAUGCAGUGGUGGGAUGCAGUACAAUGCAGAUACAGGGCCCAACAGGACCAAACACUAAUAUGACGAGCUACAAAGCAACACUUAUGCAGAGAUAAACAACCCUUGGGGAAGGCUCUAGCAAGGCUCUAGAAAAGAGUGUUCACUCCGGCUCCGGCGGCCACCAAAUUGGGUGCGCUUUAACCGGCUCAUACUCCCUUCGUCCUUGAAAGAGUGCACUUUCAACUUUGUUGGAGGGUCAAACUAUCUCAAAGUUUGACCGGGGUUGUGCAAAAAUAUAUCAAUGUUUGUGAAAUCAAAUAGGUAUAUGAUGAAAAUAUAUUUUAUCAUGAAUCUAAUGCUACUAAUUUGAUGGCAAAAAUAUUGAUGUAUUACUAUAUAAAUACGGUCAAACAUAAUUUGUUUUGACUUUCUAACAAAGUUGAAAGUAC
rnacentral:lncRNA from 1 species